GACGAACGCUGGCGGCGUGCCUAAUACAUGCAAGUUGAGCGCUGAAGGUUGGUACUUGUACCAACUGGAUGAGCAGCGAACGGGUGAGUAACGCGUGGGGAAUCUGCCUUUGAGCGGGGGACAACAUUUGGAAACGAAUGCUAAUACCGCAUAAAAACUUUAAACACAAGUUUUAAGUUUGAAAGAUGCAAUUGCAUCACUCAAAGAUGAUCCCGCGUUGUAUUAGCUAGUUGGUGAGGUAAAGGCUCACCAAGGCGAUGAUACAUAGCCGACCUGAGAGGGUGAUCGGCCACAUUGGGACUGAGACACGGCCCAACCUCCUACGGGAGGCAGCAGUAGGGAAUCUUCGGCAAUGGACGAAAGUCUGACCGAGCAACGCCGCGUGAGUGAAGAAGGUUUUCGGAUCGUAAAACUCUGUUGGUAGAGAAGAACGUUGGUGAGAGUGGAAAGCUCAUCAAGCGACGGUAACUACCCAGAAAGGGACGGCUAACUACGUG
rnacentral:rRNA from 1 species